UGACUUGGAACCUGAUAACUACAGAACGCUUUUUACGAAACGUGCAAAACUUAUUUUCUAUUAACCAAUAAAUACUCUAAAAGAAGGGCAAACCAAUUUUGAACAAACGGUACUUACGAAAAACUAUUACGAAUAAGAAGACAAAGAGCGAAAACAGCAGACAAAGACUAAGCAUUUUUGUUGUAUUAUUGCGUUUCUGUUUACUUGUACUUUUAAUAUUCAAAAAGUGUUUUUAAGGCCUUAGAAAUUUAACGAUGGUUUUAAGGCUUGCGUUUUCCAAGUAAGUAGCACAUUUUUUAUUAAUAUUUGCAAAUAUUAUAUUUCAAUUUAACUAUGAGUUUUUAUUUGUCCUUACAUACGUACGUUUUACUUUGUACUUUUCUUUUCAACGUAUUUAGUUUUUCUCCAUUAACACCGUUUAACAGUCGUAAUACAGUUAAAUAAUAUUUACAUAUAUAUUGCAGAUGUUCGCCAUUCCUCUACUAGAAUAAAUAAGCACGACUAUUAAUACGGAAAUUUAUAUAGACUUAUUAAACACUUCCUCUUUUGUAGUUACAAUACAUUCAGAAUUGCUCAAUAGAACUUUUCUUUAUAAUUAGUCCGGGAAAUAAUCCAGAGUAAGUUUCCGAAAUUAUUGUAUCAUAAAUAUUUUAAAAUACUUGGUUUGGAAAACAUCCAGACGCCUUUUAGGUAAUGCUUACAGAAGCCUUUUCCGGAAUGAAUUAAGAAUCCUUUUAAGGAGUGCUUACAGAUGCGUUGCACGGGAGUGUAAGACUCUGACGUCUGUCAAAACUGGGUAUGCUUUCAUAUAAUCAAUAAUAUAAUUAACAAUAUAGUCCCAUUCGGAAAUUUGGUGUGAAAAAAAAAUUUUUCCUUCUCCUUUUUUUUUGAUUCUUUUCCCAUAGAACACUAAUAAACAUUGAAAUAGAAGGCCUAUUCUAGAGUUCUAAUAUAAUGCAUUUUGUUAAACUAUUUUUAGUAGAGUCAGGAUAAAAAAUCAAAAUCUUAACGAUUGCUCAAGUUUUGCAAUCGUGUUUCUUCGCGUACAAGCCGAAACCAAACACAUUAAUGUUUAUGUCAGAAUUAUGUAUGCUUUGUUUAGAAACAGUUUUUGCAAUAAUCCUUACAUCUUUUUUAAUUGUAUUCAAAUUAAAGCCAGGCCCGGUGAUACAGCAAACAAAUUCUGAGCAAACGAUACUUACGGAAAGCAAAUGAAGGGAACAAAAUGAAGCAGCCAAAGAAGCUGGAAUCAUUAUACCCGUUACUCGUAGAGUAAAAGGGUAUACUAGAUUCGUUGAAAAGUAUGUAACAGGCAGAAGGAAGCGUUUCCGACCAUAAAAGUAUGUAUAUUCUGGAUCAGGAUCAAUAGCCGAGUCGAUCUGGCCAUUUCCGCCUGUCUGCCCGUGCGUAUGAACGUCGAGAUCUCAGUAACUUCAAAAGCUAGAAAGUUGAUAUUAAGCAUACAGACUCCAGAAACAUAGACGCAGCGCAAGUUUGUCGAUUUAUGUUGCCACGCCCACUCCAACG